ensembl:snRNA U1 U1 spliceosomal RNA
ACUCAUACCAGGCAGGGGAGAUGCCAUGAUCAUAAAAGUGGUUUUCCCAGGGUAAGGCUCAUCUAUUGCACUUUGGAUGUGCUGAUGCCUGUGAUUUCCCCAAAUGUGGGAAAAUUAACUGCCUAGUUUGUGGUAAUGGAGGGAUUGUGUUUAUGGUUUCCCCUG